UACGUAGGGUGCAAGCGUUGUCCGGAAUUAUUGGGCGUAAAGAGCUCGUAGGCGGUUUGUCGCGUCUGCUGUGAAAACGCGAGGCUCAACCUCGCGCCUGCAAUGGGUACGGGCAGACUAGAGUGCGGUAGGGGAGAUUGGAAUUCCUGGUGUAGCGGUGGAAUGCGCAGAUAUCAGGAGGAACACCGAUGCGAAGGCAGAUCUCUGGGCCGUAACUGACGCUGAGGAGCGAAAAGCGUGGGGAGCGAACAGG
rnacentral:rRNA from 1 species